UUCAGAAAGCGUUUGCUGACUUGAUCAACGGGACAACCAAUAUUGAAGCGAUUACACCGUGUCACGGGCAGAACCUCUCACGCUGGUUGGGGAAACAGGAUGGUCCUUUGCUUUAUGGAGGACCGUGUUUAGCACCGAGAAAGUGGAAUCCGCAUGACCCAGAUCCGCAGAGACCCACUCCAGUGCCCCUCUUCUUAAGGAGAACCAGCGAAUCUGGGAGCACAUCCCUAUACGGUCUCUCAAAGAAGGACAAAACGUGGGCAGCGGAAAUGGAUUGAUUGGCCCAGCGAAGGAAAGUGAUUGACACUCCAGAGCUGAUAAGAAAGGAUGCGUGCCGGGAUUUUUCAGACACCAGCAACAUGUGUCAGGAGUGUUAAGACCUGAAAGUCAAUGGUAACGUGCAUGUCGUGUAGCGUUUGAAACCUGCUCCAGGGCUGGGGCACGGGCUAGCUCACCAGGCAGGUAGAAGGUGUCAAUUAGAUUUUGGACCCCGGGGGAAUGGAGCCGUCAUGAGCGCAGACACCAAAAACUACUGGAACCAAAAUGCCAGCAGGAAGAUACGUUUGACUUAAACCAUGGAAAAUGCUUUUAUUUUCCCAGGAAGGAUGAGAGAAAUCAAAAGCCUUCCUCUGUGGGCUUGGACGGUGGGAUGCUUCUAUUGCCCAUUGUUAAACACAUGGGAUGGUAUAAUGCAGACCUUGAAAUGUCCCAUGUGUGCCUCAACUAAGAGGGAUUCCCCUCACCAUUUAAGCUUUUAAACUCCUUUAAGGUUCCCAAGACCUCAAGCCAGCAUCUCCCCCAGUGUUGUGUUGGUGUUACUCAGGGCCCUGGGUUCAAAACGGGGACAUCCCCUCCACAACUGCUAUUUCAGAAAAAUGCAAAAAGGGACGUUUCUCUCAGAGUCUGUAUAAAUAAACAUCUACCCACUAGUUAACAGGGUGGGGGGGGGUAUAUCUCUAUUCUGUACAAACACUCCCAGAAAGCAGAAACGGCAGAAAUAAUUUUCACCUCCUGGUCUCUUUCAGGGUGAGGACCUCUUGCCAAUUCCCACAAGGUUUUUAGUUUAGGUUCUUAGCAUGUGUGUUUGUUUUUGUAAUCUGGGUAAUAGUGGUUCAUAAUAUGUUUGCCAUCUUAAACUGUCCAUAUAAAGACAGUAAUUUUCGUCAAUAGGAUGGAAGGAAACAUUGGGUCCCAGAAAUGGGGAGUUGCUUCCCCAUUUGAAGUAAAUCGAAGUCGUUCACCUGGACUACAGAACAAGAAGUAGAAAUCACAUCAUGUCCAGAAAGACAUUUGACAGAUGUCAACAUUCAUUUAUGUUAAAAACCAAAACAACCUCUUCUCAAUGUAGGGAUAGAGCUGAAGGACGGAGCGUUUCCUGAUAGGCUCAGGGGCAAGGCCAGGAGACCCGCUCGUGUGCCUAAACAUCCCAGCCGGCGCAGUCAGGGGAGGAAAAGAAAACGCUGCCGAUUGGCAAAGAAGAAAGUGAACCAAUUUUGGAUUGCAUGGAUCAUUGCUGUUGCUUUUCCAUGUUCAAUUUCAAGGAUUUAUGCUAUUAUUUCCUUCCUUCUAUUUGCAUUAUUAAGCCGAUUGUCUACAGAGAAAAUCUAAAAGUACCUUUAAAAAGCUAUUAAAUGUAACAUGGGAGUUUAGCAAGGAUGUAGCAUGGAACAAAAUCAGUUUACGAAAGUCCAUUGUAUUUUUUCUAUACCACCAGUGAACAAUUAGAAAUUAUGGUUUAAAUACCAUUUAUAAUCCCAUCAUAGAUCUAAGCAUUUAUUAUUAGUGUUAACCUCUGAAAAAGGGUGUGUAAAUUUUAUUCACAAAAGACCAGAAAGCACUGAUUAAAAAUAAAAAAAGAAGAAAGCAUAGGUCUAUGGAAAAGUGUGCUAUAUUGGCAGAUGGGGCAAGUCAAUAUUCCCUCAAAUCACCUGUAAAUUCCAUAGAACCACAGUCAAAGUCCCAGCCGAUGUAUUUGAAGAAAUAAAUAAACUGACUGUAAAGUUAAUAAGGAAACUCAAAAGGUGUAGACUAGCCCAAAGAGUUCUAUAAAAGAACCCAUUGCAGAAUUGAAGCUAUAAGAACAUCACCACAACAAAGCUACAGUCAUGCAAACAGAGUGGGACCCCCCCCCCCACCAAAUCAUAAUCACACAGCAAUUGGAUUUUCCACAAAUGCCAAAGCAAUUCAACUGAGGAAAUAAAAUCUCUUUAACUAAUGGUCUUAGACCACGGGCCAUCCACAUGUCCAAAAUUGGAACAUUGGUCUGUACCUCACAACGUAAAAGAAGUGAACUCACAACAGGUUAUAGACCAACAUGUACAUCCUAAACAUAAAAUCCUAAAUACAUAAAAUCUACACAAGAAACAAACACGCACAAAAAGAGGAGAAAAUCUUUGCGAUGUUGCACUGGCCAGAGAUUUAUUAGAUAGGACCCAAAAAGUCCCCUCCGUCCAAGGCAUCGUGCACGUGGCCUCGGCCUGAGCUUUCUAGAAUACUCUGAUCUGGGCAGGUCCCUCCUGUUUGAAAGCCCCUGAGGAAUUCCCAUUAUCUGCAGCCUGAAGCCUCAGCAACGAGCCUGGUGACCAAGACCCUUUUGCAGGAGGGUCCAGCUGGCCUCUGGGGGUCACCUGCUGGCUCUUCUCUGCUGCAAGCCUACGCCGUCCCCCGCUGACCUGCUGUCUACCAGCCUGUCCUGCACCUCAAAGG